rnacentral:rRNA from 1 species
UUUCCGGUUGAUCCUGCCGGAGGCCACUGCUAUCGGGGUCCGAUUAAGCCAUGCGAGUUGAGAGGGGUAAGCCCUCGGCAUACUGCUCAGUAACACGCGGACAACCUGCCCUUGGGUCUGGGAUAACCCCGGGAAACUGGGACUAAUACCGGAUAGAUCAGAGAUACUGGAAUGUUCUCUGGUCCAAAACUCCGGUGCCCAAGGAUGGGUCUGCGGCCGAUUAGGUUGUUGUUGGGGUAACGGCCCAACAAGCCAUUGAUCGGUACGGGUUGUGGGAGCAAGAGCCCGGAGAUGGAUUCUGAGACACGAAUCCAGGCCCUACGGGGCGCAGCAGGCGCGAAAACUUUACAAUGCGAGAAAUCGUGAUAAGGGAACCCCGAGUGCCCGUAAAUUCGGGCUGUCCAUCAGUGUAAAAAACUGGUGAAGAAAGGGCCGGGCAAGACCGGUGCCAGCCGCCGCGGUAAUACCGGCGGCUCGAGUGGUGGCCGCUAUUAUUGGGCUUAAAGCGUCCGUAGCUGGGUUGUUAAGUCUCCUGGGAAAUCCACCGGCUCAACCGGUGGGCGUUCGGGAGAAACUGGCAACCUAGGGACCGGGAGAGGUGAGAGGUACUCCAGGGGUAGGAGUGAAAUCCUGUAAUCCUUGGGGGACCACCUGUGGCGAAGGCGUCUCACUAGAACGGCUCCGACAGUGAGGGACGAAAGCUGGGGGAGCAAACGGGAUUAGAUACCCCGGUAGUCCAGGGUGUAAACGCUGCUCGCUUGAUGUUAGUCGGGCUCCGAGCCCAACUAGUGUCGGAGAGAAGUUGUUAAGCGAGCUGCCUGGGGAGUACGGUCGCAAGACUGAAACUUAAAGGAAUUGGCGGGAAGGGCGAAUUCGU